GGAGAGGUGUCCGAGUGGUCGAAGGUGCUUGACUCGAAAUCAAGUGUGCAGCAAUGUACCGUGGGUUCGAAUCCCACCCUCUCCGCCA
rnacentral:tRNA from 4 species